rnacentral:rRNA from 1 species
CACCCGAUCCCAUUCCGAACUCGGCCGUUAAACCUCUUAUCGCCUAUGGUACUUUGUCUUAAGACACGGGAGAGUCGGUAACCGCCAGUU